rnacentral:rRNA from 1 species
AACGAACGCUGGCGGCAUGCCUAACACAUGCAAGUCGAACGAUCCCUUCGGGGAUAGUGGCGCACGGGUGCGUAACGCGUGGGAACCUGCCCUUAGGUUCGGAAUAACUCAGAGAAAUUUGAGCUAAUACCGGAUAAUGUCUUCGGACCAAAGAUUUAUCGCCUUUGGAUGGGCCCGCGUUGGAUUAGCUAGUUGGUGGGGUAAAGGCCUACCAAGGCGACGAUCCAUAGCUGGUCUGAGAGGAUGAUCAGCCACACUGGGACUGAGACACGGCCCAGACUCCUACGGGAGGCAGCAGUGGGGAAUAUUGGACAAUGGGCGAAAGCCUGAUCCAGCAAUGCCGCGUGAGUGAUGAAGGACUUAGGGUUGUAAAGCUCUUUUACCCGGGAUGAUAAUGACAGUACCGGGAGAAUAAGCCCCGGCUAACUCCGUG